GAUGAUUCAAUGACUGAAAAUAUUUUAGAUUGAGGCUAUCAAGAUUUUAGAUCUCACUGGCAUAAUCUCAUCAUGGCUCUUAAAUCAUUGUCCUAAUCUAUGAGAUUUAUCAUAAUCAUAAAAUAUGAUGCAGCAAAUGAUAAAAUAUAAUACCUCAUAAAUAAAAUAACCAAUAUCAUGCAAAUAAGUAAGAAGAUAAUCACAAAAAAGUUUUAUCACAUCACCCAUGCGAUUGGCUUGUAAAGAAUUAUUCUUUCAGAUAGUGACUGUUCAAGAUAUAUAAUGGAUGAUAAAAAUCAAUUUAUCACUCUUGAA
rnacentral:lncRNA from 1 species